CUAAAUGUGAGGAUUUUAUCUUUGUAUUGUAGCUAACGCGUUAAGCACUCCGCCUGGGGACUACGGUCGCAAGACUAAAACUCAAAGGAAUUGACGGGGACCCGCACAAGCGGUGGAGCAUGUGGUUUAAUUCGAUGCUACGCGAAAAACCUUACCACUUUUUGACAUGAAGGUCGUAUCCCUCCUAACAGGGGGAGUCAGUUCGGCUGGACCUUACACAGGUGCUGCAUGGUUGUCGUCAGCUCGUGUCGUGAGAUGUUGGGUUAAGUCCCGCAACGAGCGCAACCCUCAUUCUUAGUUACCAACAG
rnacentral:rRNA from 1 species